rnacentral:lncRNA from 11 species
AGCACAGAUAGCUAGAGCUUCUCAGUCAUUAGCAUCCCGAGCAUGUGAGUUAUGUAAGGAUAUUGGUAUCCAUAUAUAAAGCAGUGUGUGUGGAAACCGUGCAUUAUGCAUUUGUGGUAAAAUUGGACUUCUUGUAAAGUAAAAGGAAAAAGAAAGCCUAUGUUCAUUGUCUUGGGAAAUCCAUCUUAGUAUAGAAAAGGAGAAAGGGGACAAAAACAACUACCUAAGCUUGGUCAGCAGAGUCUCUAAAAGCUGGCUCUCAUGUGUGUUUGUAAGCUAGUAUUCAUUAUUAGGGUUGGAGAAUCAUGGAACAAACAAAUGAACUCACUUCUUUAGAGAAGGAGGAAGUGACCUCUGCAGGUUUUAUAGGAGGAAGGAGAGAAAAUAUCAAUCCAGUCCCCAAGAAGAGUGGUCCAAAUGACUGCUUUUGUUUAGUUCUUAGAGAAAGGUCCUAAAUUCCAUUUUGGUCAGAAGGUUAAAAUAUGGGCAAUAUGACGAAUCUGGAUGGGUCUGGUUGAGUCAACAAUUCAAAAAGAGUCUUGGGUACCAUGCCUGGCCAUUUCUUCAUUAAAACAUAGCUCAUAGAACACUUCCUACUGCAAUAUAUGUUAUUUGAUAUUAUAAAACCAGCCCAACAAAUUUACAUUUGAAACAUCACAUUUAUUUUGUAAUUUAAUUUGAGCCUAAUUACAUAACACCAAAAGCAUACCCUGCUCAUAGAAAACAGAACCAAGAAAAUGAACAUGUUCUAGAACCUUUGAUUCUAAAGUGCUUUUCUUUUUUCCUGAGAUUUGUAUUUUAUUUAAUUUUUAUUUUUGUAUGGAGGAAUAAUGACUCAGGUGAGCCUUCUCAUCUACAAUUUGAAGAAAGAUAGUCAGGAUACAAUUUUAUAAUCUCACCUGCUGCUUAUUACGACUAGCGUGAAAGUACAUUUUAUGCAUUAUAUGGUUUUGAUAAAAAUUUGGCAGAUUAUAUCUUGCAACAAGAAUUUAAAUGUUCUCUAAUGGGAAGCAAGCAAAUAUUAUUGAGGCCUUUUACAGUGACAGAGGAA